rnacentral:tRNA from 1 species
GAGGGUAUAGUUCAGUGGUAGAGUAUAUGCCUAACAUGCAUGAGGUCCUGGGUUUAAUUUCCUAAUAUCUGUU